UACGAAGGGUGCAAGCGUUACUCGGAAUUACUGGGCGUAAAGCGUGCGUAGGUGGUUUGUUAAGUCUGUUGUGAAGCCCCGGGCUCAACCUGGGAAUGGCAAUGGAUACUGGCAGGCUAGAGUGCGGUAGAGGGUAGUGGAAUUCCCGGUGUAGCGGUGAAAUGGCGUAGAGAUCGGGAGGAACACCAGUGGCGAAGGCGGCUACCUGGACCAGCACUGACACUGAGGCACGAAAGCGUGGGGAGCAAACAGG
rnacentral:rRNA from 1 species